CUAACAUAGGUUAAAAGGCAUCCAUGCCCAGACGGGGCGAGGGAAGAGUGGGUUGAGAGGUAACCAAGUGUUAAAUGUGAUGCCUGAGAGAGGAGGAAUGAGUAAUUGUGCACAGCAACGCGUCACAACUGUUUGGGACAGAAAGUGAAAAAUAACUUCUGCAUUUGAAGCUAGAGGCAGCAUUUUAUGUUGGCUAAAAGCAGUUAAAUUAAGGAAACUAGUUCAUGACUUGCUUUAGGAUGUACAUUGGCACAUAGCAUGCCACCUAAACAUGGACUACAUGUAUUUCCAACCACCAAUUCCCUAUAACCACUGGGUGAAGACCAACUUGAUCAACUCUUAAAUUUUUAUUGCUGGUGAACUAACAAGCAAUUUCUAUGCAUCUACUGUGGAAGAUAAAAGUAUAAAUUCUGUGCUGUGUGGAUCUAUUUUGGGUGAUAAAAAUCAUGCAGAAGUAUAUAAUAUGCAAAUUAUAUAC
rnacentral:lncRNA from 1 species